AUCAGGUAGGACUACCCGCUGAACUUAAGCAU
rnacentral:rRNA from 1 species